GCAGGAAUGAGAUUCUAUUUCUGAGUUAGGCCCUGCUGUGUAAUUAAUUAAUUCUAUCAGUACACUAUAUUAUGAGGCACUUUAUUUUAAUACUCGCUCAUUUUAUUUUAGGCAUGUUGAAGGCUCACGAUGACUAUACCAGGAUGACUUCAGUUGGCUGGGGAGUGCUUCCGCUUCUGACGGUGGCUCCUGGAUGGACGAAGAUUUCUGAUGGAGGGAUUGACCAUGAGAAGAUGUUCCCUCAUCACACAUUCCAGCUUGAAGAGGUCUGGAUCGCUCUUCCGUGUGUUGCGUGUGCCGGCAAAUCUUCUGUUGAGUGUGUUGAAGACCCCAUGCAUGGAUUCACCCCCCCUGUUCCCCUAGCAGCCCCAGCCCGUGUUGUGUGCGACGAAUGAAUGGUAUCAUGUGGUCUUCCAUCAUGUGCAUUUUUGGAGGAAUGGUUUUUGUUAGGAAGUUGCAGCGAAAGAAUUCCAGAAAUGUACUGAUGUCAUGCUCUGCAGGAAGACAGAAAAAAGCACAAGGUGUCUACUUGCAUCGUAAACAUUGUGGCAUUUGGAGAACAGUGUGAACAAUGUUGAAAACUUCCCUGCGAUGCAUUCUGCCUCCUUGUGCUUGGCUGGACAGAGAUGAGACGUUUCAUCAACGAUUGAAGAUUUUCCACAGUGACAUCCUGCACAUCCACCGUGUCAUUGAUCAGCGCGACAACUGCUAGCUGUUCCUUGAGGUCAUCAAUCUGACCGCGAAUCUCCUCAGCCCUGUCCCUGGCAGCAAAAACCUCGGAGAGUUUGGCCACGUGCAAUGGUAGGGGGCCAUUGGGUAAGGAGGGCACCUUGUCUGGGGCUCGUGCCAGUGUUUCAGCUAUACCUUCAAGCAGUGUACAGCAUUCCUGCUCCAAGAGGGUGAAAAGCGUGAACCAUACACCAAGGCUUACGUGUAGGGAUGGGGGACAAACCUUCAAAACAUAAAUGAGGAAGCUGAAAAUUUACAUUGAUUCAAUAUUUGUUUUGUUUGAAGUUAUCAUAUUUUCAUUUCAGAUUACCUCUCACUUACCAAAUUGAUAGGAACAACAAAGAAGCUAUUGUCGAUAACAUUGUAGAAAUUCUUGGCAUUCUUGAUAGAACUUCCAGCUUCAGUGAAAUUGUUGUGAUCCUGGGUUAGUGUCUGGAGAUUUCUUGGGGUGCAAGGGGGCCGAUCAUCUUUCUUCAUUGCCAUAGCUUUACUUGUUAUUGUACAACACAAGCAUGGGUGACGACCUGAACAAAUAAGAUAGUGACACUGCAUUAUUUAUGAUGAAUUUUUUUUUCAUGCAGAGAACAUGUAUUUUUUUGAUAGGCAUUUACAAGCUUAG